UCCCUCGCUGCGAUCUAUUGAAA
rnacentral:piRNA from 2 species